rnacentral:lncRNA from 1 species
CGAUCUUGAAUGAAUUGAUCACUGUCCUCCGUGAUGAUCUUUCGAUCGGGAGUAUUUAGAAAUUAACCACUAAUAAUGUAUGUCUCAAAUUCUCAAUACCUUAAGAAUAUAUAAAAUCAUCUUUGUUAAUUUUUUGAAAAAAUCAUGGACACAUAAGACAUGAUUGGUUAUCAAGACUGCCCAUCAAGUACAAAAUAUACCCUAGAGAAAGGUACCUGUCAGUU